CUGAUGCUGUACUGCUCGUUCAUUUCAAGCCUAUCAGUUUGUCGUAUCUGAAGAGGGCAGUGAGGAGGAACAAGGCACCAGCAGCCCUGAUGAUCAUUGUUGGGAUUGUUGUUAUUUUAUGCACAUUAUUGAUUUAUGAUCGUACAUAUUAGGAAUUGGAGUGAGACACAGUGUAGCGAUGUUUAAAGUCUUCACAAUGCGUGAGAAAGGAAAAAGUAUUCUUCAAAAACCAGACAUGUAUGACUUUAAUGAAACAUGCACCAAUGAUAUCGCAAUUAGAUAACAAGGCUGUUUAUGAGUCUGGUUCAUGUUAGUAAAAUACAAACCAAUACUAACCCUAACUAAUAAAUGAACCAAUAAACAAGGAGCAAUUAUAUUACAGCAUCUGCACAAUUAUACUCGGAAGGCACAUUUAAACAUCAGGUUAUAGACUACAUCAAUUACGUACACGUUUCACAAAAUAACAAUUCUGUCAUAGUUAAUAACACAAUGAAAACGGACUCCAACCAUAUCCACAGCUCCUGUAGCAUGCCGACUGUCAGUGCCCCUACUGUCUGUUGUGUGAGUCCUAGAGUAGGCACCACCAUAGCGCCAGCAGAGAGCCCAUCAGAGCUGAAGCAGACCCUCGUGCCAUGAGAGGGGUGCCACUGUUACACAUGUCGCUGCUGCAGCACCUGUAGGUGAACUCCGAGAUGGCAGGGAACAUUUGCAUGAGCCGAGAAUUGUCGCAAUCUGUGUAUCGGAUGCACUGGCGAAUAGUUUUCCCACCUGUGUAGACCAGAGUCCAGAAUACUGUCAUUAGCAAUCAAAUGCCACGGUACUGGGUUAUGUGAAUAAAAAAUCUGCUUU